rnacentral:rRNA from 1 species
AACGAACGCUGGCGGCAGGCCUAACACAUGCAAGUCGAACGCCCCGCAAGGGGAGUGGCAGACGGGUGAGUAACACGUGGGAACCUACCUUGUGGUACGGAACAACCAAGGGAAACUUUGGCUAAUACCGUAUGAGCCCGAGAGGGGAAAGAUUUAUCGCCAUAAGAUGGGCCCGCGUCGGAUUAGCUAGUUGGUGAGGUAAUGGCUCACCAAGGCGACGAUCCGUAGCUGGUCUGAGAGGAUGACCAGCCACACUGGGACUGAGACACGGCCCAGACUCCUACGGGAGGCAGCAGUGGGGAAUAUUGGACAAUGGGCGCAAGCCUGAUCCAGCCAUGCCGCGUGUGUGAUGAAGGCCUUAGGGUUGUAAAGCACUUUCGCCGAUGAAGAUAAUGACGGUAGUCGGAGAAGAAGCCCCGGCUAACUUCGUGCCAGCAGCCGCCGCCGUAA